rnacentral:rRNA from 1 species
CGUAACAAGGUUUCCGUAGGUGAACCUGCGGAAGGAUCAUUACAGUAUUCUUUUGCCAGCGCUUAACUGCGCGGCGAAGAACCUUACACACAGUGUCUUUUUGAUACAGAACUCUUGCUUUGGUUUGGCCUAGAGAUAGGUUGGGCCAGAGGUUUAACAAAACACAAUUUAAUUAUUUUUACAGUUAGUCAAAUUUUGAAUUAAUCUUCAAAACUUUCAACAACGGAUCUCUUGGUUCUCGCAUCGAUGAAGAACGCAGCGAAAUGCGAUAAGUAAUAUGAAUUGCAGAUUUUCGUGAAUCAUCGAAUCUUUGAACGCACAUUGCGCCCUCUGGUAUUCCAGAGGGCAUGCCUGUUUGAGCGUCAUUUCUCUCUCAAACCCCCGGGUUUGGUAUUGAGUGAUACUCUUAGUCGGACUAGGCGUUUGCUUGAAAAGUAUUGGCAUGGGUAGUACUGGAUAGUGCUGUCGACCUCUCAAUGUAUUAGGUUUAUCCAACUCGUUGAAUGGUGUGGCGGGAUAUUUCUGGUAUUGUUGGCCCGGCCUUACAACAACCAAACAAGUUUGACCUCAAAUCAGGUAGGAAUACCCGCUGAACUUAAGCAUAUC